GAGACCUUGAAAUGUAGCUAGUGUGACUGUGUUGGGAGUUCAGCUCUAAGAUCCCGCUACCUCUUUUUUAUGAUACCAUUUUCUUUAUGUUUCUCUACACAGUCUUUCCUCUGGUCUGUUGUUUUCAAGUUUUUUUAUGUAUGAAAAUAGAAAACUCAAAGAUAGAUCUUUUAUUAGGUUUUUGUUUGGCAAAGUGUCAACGUGUUUAUAACAUAAUGGUAAAGGAAACUUUUUAGAUAAUUAGUUUGGAGAAGCGAGGACAAACCAAAAGGCUGCCCUGGCUGCAGAGGGUAGGGAGGUGAGUCGUGAGUCCUCGGAGGGCCCGGGCAGUACUUGAGCAGACGAGGUUUGCCCACAGCCACAGCUCCUCCAAGGUGCUGUGCAGACAGCCCCUGCCGCGCCUCUGCUUCUGCCUGGAGGGGGAGCAGAGAGGUCCAAGCAUCUGGAGGACGCUGCAUCUGCCCAACUAGCGGGAAAUGCCAGGAAUUAGGUAUCUUGCUGUGAAAUCAGUGUGACCUCAAACAGCUCACUUCUCCUCUUUGAACGUCGAUUUCUUCUCAGGACAGAUAAGGGCGUUAGACUCAAAGAUCUCCUGGGUCCCUCCAGCCCGAGAGUUCUGUGACUCUCACUUGAUGCUCUCGGAGCACUGACUCCGCCCACUCCCUCCUGGACUUUCCUCACCCGCCUGUCAUCAUCCACGCUCUCCUGGUGCUCCUACCCUUCCUCCUCGUCCUGCCUCCUUCUCUUGGUCUUCCUCCCAGGCUCUUCUUAAAUGUUGGAAUCCCCCAGGCUUUAUCCUUGGACCUCUGAUGCUGGAACUGCCUGCUCCUCCUAGCUGUAGCAGCUGCCUGCCUGCUAAUGACACCCAGAUCAGCCUGUCUCUGCCCCGGCUUCUCUGCUCCUGGCCUCUGGGGAGCAUAUCAAAUGGCUACUGGAUGUUGGUACAUGGACAUCCACGGGCACAUCCAACUUCCCGUGUCCAACGGGACUCCUCUCCUCCAUCAGCCCAGAUGCUGUCCUUUUCCUAGUUUCCUUAUUUAAGUGAAAAGCACCAGCACUUAUUUAAAUCUCCAAAUAACUCUGAGAGGCGUUACUUUCCCAUCACAUAGAAUCUGUGUGCUAGAGAUGAAAAAACUGAAGCUUAGCGAAGUUCAGGAACACAUCUAAGGCUACACAGCUGGUGAGUGGUGGAGUCCGGAUUUAAACUCAGUAUCUCUGACUCCGAGGCUAGAGCUCUCC
rnacentral:lncRNA from 1 species